rnacentral:rRNA from 1 species
GACGAACGCUGGCGGCGUGCUUAACACAUGCAAGUCGAACGGAAAGGCCUCUUUCGGGGGGUACUCGAGUGGCGAACGGGUGAGUAACACGUGAGUAACCUGCCCUUGACUUUGGGAUAACUUCAGGAAACUGGGGCUAAUACCGGAUAGGAGCUCCUGCUGCAUGGUGGGGGUUGGAAAGUUUCGGCGGUUGGGGAUGGACUCGCGGCUUAUCAGCUUGUUGGUGGGGUAGUGGCUUACCAAGGCUUUGACGGGUAGCCGGCCUGAGAGGGUGACCGGCAAGAAUGAGGCUGAGAAAAGACCGAGAAGACGGCUGGGCGCAGUAGUGGGGAGUAUGGCGCUGAGGGUGCUAGUAAGGUGAAGCGACGUGAGUAGCAGGAUGACAGACUGAAGGUUAUUAAGCACGUGUGCUCAAGACUGAUGAUUGUGUGAAGGUAGUGGGUAAAGAGACGCCGGCUAACUACGUG